rnacentral:rRNA from 1 species
CCGAAACCAGGCGAUCUAUCCAUGAGCAGGUUGAAGGUUGGGUAACACUAACUGGAGGACCGAACCCACUGUCGUUGAAAAGCCAGGGGAUGACUUGUGGAUAGGGGUGAAAGGCUAAUCAAGCCUGGUGAUAGCUGGUUCUCCCCGAAAGCUAUUUAGGUAGCGCCUCGGACGAAUACCAUAGGGGGUAGAGCACUGUUUCGGCUAGGGGGUCAUCCCGACUUACCAAACCGAUGCAAACUCCGAAUACCUAUGAGUACUAUCCGGGAGACAGACUGCGGGUGCUAACGUCCGUAGUCAAGAGGAAAACAAUCCAGACCGCCAGCUAAGGCCCCAAAAUCAUAGUUAAGUGGGAAACGAUGUGGGAAGGCAUAGACAGCUAGGAGGUUGGCUUAGAAGCAGCCACCCUUUAAAGAAAGCGUAAUAGCUCACUAGUCGAGUCGGCCUGCGCGGAAGAUGUAACGGGGCUAAAA